AUCCGAGGCUUUUUGGGGUCGCGUCGUCCCACAGCGUCUGUAUUUCUCUGUACAGGGGGGAAACAGCCAGUGGGGAGGGAAGGGGGGGUCCGAAGGGGGGGUUGGGGGUCCCCUCUGGGAUCCAGUCGAUCCUUGGGAUCCUGUGGGUGCAGGAUCAGGACCCUCUGGGAUCCACUGGUGCCCAGGACCCUCCCGGGGGCAGGAUCGGGCCCCUCAGGAUCCAGCGGUGACUCAGGAUCAGGCUCCUCCAGGAUCCAGUUGAUCCUUGGGAUCAUUCCUGUGCAGGAUCGGGCCCCUCCGGGAUCCAGUCGAUCCCCAGGACCCCCCCGGGGGCAGGAUCGGGCCCGUCAGGAUCCUCUGGGAUCCAGUCGAUCCUUGGGAUCCCUCUGGGUGCACGAUGGGGCCCCUCCGGGAUCCAGCGGCGACUUGGGAUCAGGACCCACCAGGAUCCAGUUGAUCUUCAGGAUCCUGUGGGUGCAGGAUCGGGCCCCUCUGGAUCCAGCGGCGACUCAGGAUCCCUCCGGGAUCCACUCAAUCUUCAGGGAUCCUCCCUGGGCAGGAUCCGUCCCCUCUGGGAUCCACUGGUGCCCAGAAUCCCUCGAGGUCCAGGAUCAGGCCCCUUCAGGAUCCAGCGGUGACUCAGGAUCAAGCUCCUCCGGGAUCCACUCGACCCUUGGGAUCCUCUGGGUGCAGGAUUGGGCCCCUCUGGAUCCAGCAGCGACUCAGGAUCCCUCUGGGAUCCACUCGAUCUUCAGGGAUCCUCCCUGGGCAGGAUUGAGCUCCUCUGGGAUCCACUGGUGCCCAGGACCCUCCUGGGGGCAGGAUCGGGCCCUUUGGGGAUCCAGCGGUGACUCAGGAUCAGGCCCCUCCGGGAUCCACUCGAUCCUUGGGAUCCUGUGGGUGCAGGAUCGGGCCCCUCCAGGAUCCACUGGUGCCCAGGACCCUCCUGGGGGCAGGAUCGGGCCCUUUGGGGAUCCAGCGGUGACUCAGGAUCAGGCCCCUCCGGGAUCCACUCGAUCCUUGGGAUCCUGUGGGUGCAGGAUCAGGACCCUCCAGGAUCCACUGGUGUCGGGAAUCCCUUGAUAUCCAGGAUCGGGCCCUUUGGGGAUCCACUGGUGACUCAGGAUCGGGUCCCUCCGGGAUCCAGUUGAUCUUCAGGAUCCUGUGGGUGCAGGAUCGGGCCCCUCCAGGUGUCCCCAAUGUCCCCAAGGGGUGGGGGUGGCCCCCAUGUCCUCAAUGUCCCCAAAACCAUCGAGGUGGCCCCCAGAUCUCAAUGUCCCCCACGUCCUCGAUGUCCCCAACGUCCUCAAUGUCCCCAACGUCCCCAAAAACAUCAGGGUGGCCCCCAGAUCUCACUGUCCCCAAUGUCCCCAAGGGGUGGGGGUGGCCCCCAUGUCCUCAAUGUCCCCAAAACCAUCGAGGUGGCCCCCAGAUCUCAAUGUCCCCCACGUCCUCGAUGUCCCCAACGUCCUCAAUGUCCCCAACGUCCCCAAAAACAUCAGGGUGGCCCCCAGAUCUCACUGUCCCCAAUGUCCCCAAGGGGUGGGGGUGGCCCCCAUGUCCUUGAUGUCCCCAAGGUAUCGGGGUGGCCCCCAGAUCUCGCUGUCCCCCAUGUCCUCAAUGUCCCCAAAACAUCGAAGUGGCCCCCAGAUCCCGCUGUCCCCAGUGUCCCCAAGGCUUCAGGGUGGCCCCCA
rnacentral:lncRNA from 1 species